rnacentral:rRNA from 1 species
GAUGAACGCUGGCGGCGUGCCUAAUACAUGCAAGUCGAGCGAACAGACGAGGAGCUUGCUCCUCUGACGUUAGCGGCUGACGGGUGAGUAACACGUGGAUAACCUACCUAUAAGACUGGGAUAACUUCGGGAAACCGGAGCUAAUACCGGAUAAUAUAUUGAACCGCAUGGUUCAAUAGUGAAAGACGGUUUUGCUGUCACUUAUAGAUGGAUCCGCGCCGCAUUAGCUAGUUGGUGAGGUAACGGCUUACCAAGGCAACGAUGCGUAGCCGACCUGAGAGGGUGAUCGGACACACUGGAACUGAGACACGGUCCAGACUCCUACGGGAGGCAGCAGUAGGGAAUCUUCCGCAAUGGGCGAAAGCCUGACGGAGCAACGCCGCGUGAGUGAUGAAGGUCUUCGGAUCGUAAAACUCUGUUAUUAGGGAAGAACAGAUGUGUAAGUAACUAUGCACGUCUUGACGGUACCUAAUCAGAAAGCCACGGCUAACUACGUG